UGGCCAGACUCCUACGGGAGGCAGCAGUGGGGAAUAUUGCACAAUGGGGGGAACCCUGAUGCAGCGACGCCGCGUGGGUGAAGGAGCACCUCGGUGCGUAAAGCCCUAUCGGCAGGGAAGAAACAGACGGUACCUGACUAAGAAGCCCCGGCUAACUACGUGCCAGCAGCCGCGGUAAUACGUAGGGGGCAAGCGUUAUCCGGAAUUACUGGGUGUAAAGGGAGCGUAGACGGCGGCGCAAGUCCGGAGUGAAAGCCCACGGCCCAGCCGUGGGACUGCUCUGGAAACUGUGCGGCUUGAGUGCGGGAGGGGCAAGCGGAAUUCCUAGUGUAGCGGUGAAAUGCGUAGAUAUUAGGAGGAACACCAGUGGCGAAGGCGGCUUGCUGGACUGUAACUGACGUUGAGGCUCGAAAGCGUGGGGAGCAAACAGG
rnacentral:rRNA from 1 species